rnacentral:rRNA from 1 species
UGAGUAAUGCUUAGGAAUCUGCCUAUUAGUGGGGGACAACGUUCCGAAAGGAGCGCUAAUACCGCAUACGUCCUACGGGAGAAAGCAGGGGACCUUUGGGCCUUGCGCUAAUAGAUGAGCCUAAGUCGGAUUAGCUAGUUGGUAGGGUAAAGGCCUACCAAGGCGACGAUCUGUAGCGGGUCUGAGAGGAUGAUCCGCCACACUGGGACUGAGACACGGCCCAGACUCCUACGGGAGGCAGCAGUGGGGAAUAUUGGACAAUGGGGGGAACCCUGAUCCAGCCAUGCCGCGUGUGUGAAGAAGGCCUUUUGGUUGUAAAGCACUUUAAGCGAGGAGGAGGCUACCUAGAUUAAUACUUUAGGAUAGUGGACGUUACUCGCAGAAUAAGCACCGGCUAACUCUGUGCCAGCAGCCGCGGUAAUACAGAGGGUGCGAGCGUUAAUCGGAUUUACUGGGCGUAAAGCGUGCGUAGGCGGCCAAUUAAGUCAAAUGUGAAAUCCCCGAGCUUAACUUGGGAAUUGCAUUCGAUACUGGUUGGCUAGAGUAUGGGAGAGGAUGGUAGAAUUCCAGGUGUAGCGGUGAAAUGCGUAGAGAUCUGGAGGAAUACCGAUGGCGAAGGCAGCCAUCUGGCCUAAUACUGACGCUGAGGUACGAAAGCAUG